rnacentral:rRNA from 1 species
UACGAAGGGGCUAGCGUUGCUCGGAAUCACUGGGCGUAAAGGGUGCGUAGGCGGGUCUUUAAGUCAGAGGUGAAAUCCUGGAGCUCAACUCCAGAACUGCCUUUGAUACUGAGGUGUCUAGUAUGACAGAGGUGAGUGGAACUGCGAGUGUAGAGGUGAAAUUCGUAGAUAUUCGCAAGAACACCAGUGGCGAAGGCGGCUCACUGGCCCGAUACUGACGCUGAGGUGCGAAGCGUGGGGAGCAAACAGG